CCAGACUCCUACGGGAGGCAGCAGUGAGGAAUAUUGGUCAAUGGCCGGAAGGCUGAACCAGCCAAGCCGCGUGAAGGACGAAGGUGCCAAGCAUUGUAAACUUCUUUUGUCAAGGGACAAAAUCAGGCUCGAGAGCCUGACCGAGGGUACUUGAAGAAAAAGCAUCGGCUAACUCCGUGCCAGCAGCCGCGGUAAUACGGAGGAUGCGAGCGUUAUCCGGAUUUAUUGGGUUUAAAGGGUGCGUAGGCGGAAUGCCAAGUCAGCGGUAAAAUCGCGGGGCUCAACCUCGCUCCGCCGUUGAAACUGGCGUUCUUGAGUGGGCGAGAAGUAUGCGGAAUGCGUGGUGUAGCGGUGAAAUGCAUAGAUAUCACGCAGAACUCCGAUUGCGAAGGCAGCAUACCGGCGCCCAACUGACGCUGAAGCACGAAAGCGUGGGUAUCGAACAGGAUUAGAUACCCCAGUA
rnacentral:rRNA from 1 species